AUAUAUAUAUAUAUAUAUAUAGAGAGAGAGAGAGAGAGAGAGAGCGAGCGAGCUGAUAUGCUUCUGGAAGCACGGAGUCUUCCGUUCUUCCAAGUCGUUUUCGAUGUUGGGAUUUUCGAAUCGAUGAUCGGCUCCGUUAAACUUGAUCUAGAGUAUUUGAAGUAUCUAAAAAAUAAAUUUUAUAAUUUUUCGAUAUCAUUAAAUUAGCCUAGUGAUCGGAGGGGCUCAAAAUCAAUAAUUUUAAUAACCGUGGUGAGCCGUUUGCAAGUUUAAUGGUGUAAAAAUAUCCAAAUCACGUAAAAUUUUGAUAGAAAAUUUUUUAUACUGUAUAAAACAAGAUCAAUAUUUUUAAUCUAAAAUUUUAAUAUCCUAUCAUUAUAUUUUGUAAGAUUUUUAUUUUCAGCCGUUGAUUUUGAGCCACUUCAAUCACUAGGCAAAUGACAUCAAAAAAGCGCAAAAUUUAUUUUCUAGAUACGUAAAAUACUUUAGAUCAAGUUUAACGGAGCUGAUCGUCGAUUCGAAAGUCCCAACAUCGAAAAUGACUUGGAAGCGCCGAGCGCACUAUAUAUAUAUAAUUAAGCUCCUAUACUUUUAAAAGUACCAAGUCAUUGGUGCUUGUAAGUUUUCGGCCCUUGGAUUAGGGAAUGUGUCGUGAGGAUGAUGUUGACCCCUUANAUAUAGAGAGAGAGAGAGAGAGAGAGAGAGAGAGAGAGAGAGAGAGAGAGAGAGAGAGAGAGAGUCCGACUACUAUGAGUAUUGACUCCAUUAUACUCAUAAGUUUUCAACCCUUAGAUUUAUUUCAUUAAUUAUUUUCAUCCGUUAGAUCAUACUAUUUAACCAACUACCUACUCGACCCUAAGGGACCACUAUCAUUUUAAGUGGGGACCACCAUCAUCCUAACCAUACAUCUCAUGAAUCAAUGGUUAAAAAUUUAUGAGUACAAGGGAGUCUAUACUCAUAAGAGUAUAGUGCCCCAGUCUAUAUAUAUAUAUAUAUAUAUAGUAGGGUUACUGUGCAAUUAGAAGUACAACAGUCCUUAUAUUCCUAAGUUUCUAACCAUCCAUCAAUUUUGAUGGGUGAUUAGGAUAAAAGAGAAAAGAGAAAUUGAAAAUAAAUAUAAAGAGAAGAGAAUUGAGACACCCAUUUUUUUUUUUCUCAAUUUUUCUUCUUUUUUUUAUCCUAACCAUUCAUCAAAAUUGAUGUAUGGUUAGGAACUUAGGAACAUAUAGGUUACUGUGCUCCUAAUAGUACAGUAGCCCCGCUAUAUAUAUAUAUAUAUAUAGAGUCCAGCUAUGGUGCUUGUAAAAGCACAAAGCAUUUGGUGCUUGUAAGUUUUCUACCGUUAGAUCUACUCCUCCGAUCAUUGUCAACCAUUAGAUUAUACUAUUCAACCAACCACCUACUAAACCCUAGGGGGCCCACAUCAUCUUAACCGCAUAUCUUUUAAUCCAAUGGCUAAAAAUUUACAAGCACCAAUAACUUGGAACUUUUAAAAGCAUAGGAGCUCAAUUCUAUAUAUAUAUAUAUAGAGAGUUGGACUGGGCUACUAUUAGUAGCAAAAUUCUAUUGUUGCUAUCAGUUUUUUAGCCUUUAGAUCAACUCUUUUCAUCAUUUCUAACAAUUGGAUUAAAUACUAUAACCCUGUGGGGACCACUCAACCCUAGGGGGACCACGCAACUCUAACUAACUUAUAUCAUCCUAACCCUACAAUUUUUCAUCCAAGGAUUAAAAACUUGAUAGCAAAAAGAGCGUUUUACUAUUAAUAGUAUUCUAGCAUAAUUCUAUAUAUAUAUAGAGAGAGAGAGAGAGAGAGAGAGAGAGAGUUGAGCCAGAAUACUCUCAAAAGCACCAAAAAGGUGGUGCUUUUGAGUUUUUAGCCAUUGGAUGGAGAGAUGAAGGAUUGAGAUGAUAGUGGUAGAUGGUAGACUGGUGAUAGGUGAAAUAGUGUUUGAUCCAAAGGCUAUUAGUAAUCAAGGAGUAGAUCCAAAGGCUAGAAACUUAAAAGCACCAAGAGGUUGGUACUUCUAAAAGUAUUCUAGCUAUAUAUAUAUAUAUAUAUAUAUAUAUAUAAGCUCCUAUACUUUUAAAAGUACCAAGUCAUUGGUGCUUGUAAGUUUUCGGCCCUUGGAUUAGGGAAUGUGUCGUUAGGAUGAUGUUGACCCCUUAGGGUUGAGUAGUUAGUUGGUUGAAUAGUAUAAUCUAACGGAUGGAAAUGAUCAAAGACGUAGAUUUAACGGUAAAAAAUUCACAAGCACCAAGUGCUUGGUGUUUUUACAAGCACCAUAGCCGGACUCAUAUAUAUA
rnacentral:lncRNA from 1 species